rnacentral:rRNA from 1 species
AACGAACGCUGGCGGCAUGCCUAACACAUGCAAGUCGAACGAGACCUUCGGGUCUAGUGGCGCACGGGUGCGUAACGCGUGGGAACCUGCCCUUAGGUUCGGAAUAACUCCUCGAAAGGGGUGCUAAUACCGGAUAAUGUCUUCGGACCAAAGAUUUAUCGCCUUUGGAUGGGCCCGCGUUGGAUUAGCUAGUUGGUAGGGUAAAAGCCUACCAAGGCGACGAUCCAUAGCUGGUCUGAGAGGAUGAUCAGCCACACUGGGACUGAGACACGGCCCAGACUCCUACGGGAGGCAGCAGUGGGGAAUAUUGGACAAUGGGCGAAAGCCUGAUCCAGCAAUGCCGCGUGAGUGAUGAAGGCCUUAGGGUUGUAAAGCUCUUUUACCCGGGAUGAUAAUGACAGUACCGGGAGAAUAAGCGCCGGCUAACUCCGUG